rnacentral:rRNA from 1 species
GGACCUGACUGCUAUCGGAUUGAUACUAAGCCAUGCGAGUCAUUGUAGCAAUACAAGGCAGACGGCUCAGUAACGCGUAGUCAACCUAACCUAUGGACGGGAAUAACCUCGGGAAACUGAGAAUAAUGCCCGAUAGAACACUAUACCUGGAAUGGUUUGUGUUCCAAAUGAUUUAUCGCCGUAGGAUGGGACUGCGGCCUAUCAGUUUGUUGGUGAGGUAAUGGCCCACCAAGACUAUUACAGGUACGGGCUCUGAGAGGAGUAGCCCGGAGAUGGGUACUGAGACACGGACCCAGGCCCUAUGGGGCGCAGCAGGCGAGAAAACUUUGCAAUGUGCGAAAGCACGACAAGGUUAAUCCGAGUGGUUUGUGCUAAACAGACCUUUUGUUAGUCCUAGAAACACUAACGAAUAAGGGGUGGGCAAGUUCUGGUGUCAGCCGCCGCGGUAAAACCAGCACCUCAAGUGGUCAGGAUGAUUAUUGGGCCUAAAGCAUCCGUAGCCGGCUCUGUAAGUUUUCGGUUAAAUCUGUAUGCUCAACAUACAGGCUGCCGGGAAUACUGCAGAGCUAGGGAGUGGGAGAGGUAGACGGUACUCGGUAGGAAGGGGUAAAAUCCUUUGAUCUAUUGAUGACCACCUGUGGCGAAGGCGGUCUACCAGAACACGUCCGACGGUGAGGGAUGAAAGCUGGGGGAGCAAACCGGAUUAGAUACCCGGGUAGUCCCAGCUGUAAACUAUGCAAACUCAGUGAUGCAUUGGCUUGUGGCCAAUGCAGUGCUGCAGGGAAGCCGUUAAGUUUGCCGCCUGGGAAGUACGUACGCAAGUAUGAAACUUAA